UGCAGCAAAAGGCUGAAGGAUUGGACAAAUACUAAUUCUCUGGAAGUUGCAUUAAAGGAAUUGCCAAAGGCCAAAAGAACACAAGUCACAUGGGAUGCAAUUACAGUUAAAGCAUAAGAAAACAGCUUGGGGCCGUUGAUCACAUACCCAGUUCAAUAGAAAUUGAAUAAAUUUGCCAGAACAAUCCAGUUUUGGCUAAAUUUGAUAUUAAUUCUUUGAUAUGAAUCAAAUUGACCAGAAAAUUUAUAAAAGUAGAAUGAAAAGAAAAUAACAUUUAUUAUUUGUGGUUUACAUUUGUGCAUAGCUUAGGAUGCACUUUAAAUUUAGUCAGAUAAGACAUAAUGAAUCAUCUUGCAUAUUGUGACUUCUGGCUAUACAUACAAAUAUUGGCGCUUCAGUAACUGCAUUGGCUUUGGAGCAGAGUAGUGCUGAAUGAUUUUCCAUUGCAGUCCUAACAGCAGAUUGUAAAAUGUGAUUCAUAUACAUCAAGUCAAUACUGUCAUGUAUAUAUGGGAGUCAGUGUGCUGUUUUCUCUUUUCGUUUGUUUUAAAUUUGUAUUAAUAUAUUUCGCUCAUUGUAAAAUUUCUUCUUCAAUGUGGA